UACGGAAGGCAGCAGGGGGGAAUAUUGCACAAUGGGCGCAAGCCUGAUGCAGCCAUGCCGCGUGUAUGAAGAAGGCCUUCGGGUUGUAAAGUACUUUCAGUCGUGAGGAAGGUGUUAAGGUUAAUAACCUUAGCAAUUGACGUUAGCGACAGAAGAAGCACCGGCUAACUCCGUGCCAGCAGCCGCGGUAAUACGGAGGGUGCGAGCGUUAAUCGGAAUUACUGGGCGUAAAGGGCACGCAGGCGGUUAAUUAAGUUGGAUGUGAAAUCCCCGGGCUUAACCUGGGAAUGGCAUUCAAGACUGGUUAGCUAGAGUCUUGUAGAGGGGGUAGAAUUCCAUGUGUAGCGGUGAAAUGCGUAGAGAUGUGGAGGAAUACCGGUGGCGAAGGCGGCCCCGUGGACAAAGACUGACGCUCAUGUGCGAAAGCGUGGGGAGCAAACAGGGAUUAGAUACC
rnacentral:rRNA from 1 species